CCUACGGGAGGCUGCAGUCGAGAAUCUUCCUCAAUGGACGAAAGUCUGAAGGAGCGACGCCGCGUGUAUGAAGAAGCCCUUCGGGGUGUAAAGUACUUUUAUCAGGGACGAAUCAAUGACGGUACCUGAUGAAUAAGGGGCUGCUAACCUCGUGCCAGCAGCAGCGGUAAUACGAGGGCCCCAAGCGUUAUCCGGAUUUAUUGGGCGUAAAGCGUCCGUAGGUGGUUUAUCGCAUCUCCUGUUAAAUCUCGAGGCCCAACCUCGAGUCUGCGGGAGAGAUGGAUAAACUAGAGACCGGAAGAGGCAAACGGAAUUGCUGGUGUAGGGGUUAAAUCCAUUAAUAUCAGCAAGAACACCAAAUGCGAAGGCAGUUUGCUAGGACGGUUCUGACACUCAGUGGACGAAAGCGUGGGGAGCGAAUGGGAUUAGAUACCCCAGUAGUC
rnacentral:rRNA from 1 species